rnacentral:misc_RNA from 1 species
UUUCCGUAGGUGAACCUGCGGAAGGAUCAUUACUGAGUGAGGGCACCUUGGGUCCAGCCUUCCACCCGUGUCUAUUGUACCUUGUUGCCUCGGUGAACCCGCCCCACGGCGGCCGUGCUGCAUCAGCCCCCGGGCCCACGCUCGCCGAAGCCGUCCUGUAACUCUGUCUGAAGUUUGCAGUCUGAGCGAAAACUAAAUAAGCUAAAACUUUCAACAACGGAUCUCUUGGUUCCG